rnacentral:lncRNA from 1 species
ACCUGCAUCUGCCAACAAGACUGGAAGCAGAAAGGGACAGAGACGGCGAAGUUUGACGGUCUGGAAAGCAGAGACCAGCAGGGCUGACUGCUUGGGAGCACCAAAUAUCCGGACAGCGCCUCUCGGGAGGUCCGAGAAGAGAACCGCGAUCUGUUUCAGCACCGGGGCUCAGGACAGUUCCCAGCGGGCUCCGUUUCGUCUCCAGAACCCUGGACAGCUCCUCCAGUAGAGACGGGGUUUCACCAUGUUGGCCAGGCUGGUCUCAAACUCUUGACCUCUUCAUCCGUCCACCUCAGCCUCCCAAAGUGCUAGGAUUACAGGCGUGAGUCACUGCGCCUGGCCCAAGUCCGGAAUUUUCAACAGGACAUGGGUGUUACUGUGCCCAUGUGACAUUUGGGGAACCCAAGGCCCUGAGAAAGGCAGAAAAAUAACCCACGCAGGGACUCUCAGCCCACAAGUGAAGCUCUUGGAAUGCACUCCCUCCACCUCCAACCAGAGCUCCCCACAACUGACCCUGCCUUCUUCUGCAAGCUCCAUUUCAUCAAGGGAAACGAUCCUUAUUGCCUCACCAUUUCCCACGUGAAGUCUGUAUUGACAUUCUCAUAGACCUGGGAUAUUGUGUCUGCAGCACAUAGUCCAAUUAUUUUCAUGUUAUCUACUGACAGGUCUAUUUGUCUCCCUGUUACACUGUGAGCUCCGUGAGGGCAGAAACAAUGUUAGUAUUUUCACUGCUGUGUCCCCAGCGCCUGGUCCGGGGCCCGGCACACAGCAGGCAUAUAAUAAGCAUGUGUUGAAUCAAUAAAGGCAUCAAAGAAUAAACCAAUACAUCAAUCAAUAAAUGAAUGAAUGGCCUCAGC